GUGCUCACUUUGGCAGCACAUAUACUAGAAUUGAAACCACACAGAGAAAGUUAGCCUGGCCCCUGUGCAGGGAUGAUGUACAAAUUCAUCAAGUGCUCCAUAUUUUU
ensembl:snRNA U6 U6 spliceosomal RNA